GCCUUCGUGGUGUAAUGGUCAGCACACUGAGCCGGUAUUUCAGAGGUCCGCGGUUCGAUUCCCGGCGAAGGAA
rfam:Stegodyphus mimosarum contig24222, whole genome shotgun sequence.